ACGGCUCCCUGUUCUCCUCAGACGAAGAAAUAAAAUGGAAAGCGACAUAAAAACUUAACUAGUGAAUGAGACGAACUGCAAAGGAAUCGGGCUCUUAGUUCAAUGCUCGACUCUGAUACUCACCGUAGGGCAAAUGAGAAUGGAAUUUAUUACCCUGGGAGUAACAUGCGCUCCUCUUUAUGCCUUAAACUUAUGAGUAAGGAAAAUAACGAUUCGGGGUGACGCCCGAAUCCUCACUGCUAAUGUGAGACGAAUUUUUGAGCGGGUAAAGGUUGCCCCUAAGGUGACCCGCCUACUUUGCGGGAUGCCUGGGAGUCGCGAUCUGCCCGUCCUCCUUCUAAUCACUGAAAAAAACAGACCAGUGUCUUCUGGUUAAGUAUCAAUUUUAAGAGUAGGUAGUUUCUUGCAAAGUAAGAGCUUAGGCUGCAGAAGGGUUUUUCGGUGCCUGUCAGCCCCGCCCUUGGCAUUUAUUAUCCCCGGUUUUUUUUUCUUUGUCUUGCUAAGUUGGCCCGGUGUUUCGAUUUAGUGAUUCACGGACUGCCUUCCGCUUGGCGACCGUAGCCAGUUUCUUGCCCCUGGAAUCCUAGAAUAAGGACAGCUGCCUACUUGUGGGUUAGAGCGAAAGAUGCCUGCGGCUACCGGCUGCAUACAGUAGGCGCUCGCGUUGCAGCUCACGGGGUGACAGCUGGAGGACCCCUUGGGUCCCCUCGAGCCGCGCUUCUUGGCGGUAUGGCUUUCACCAGCAAAUUGCUUCUCCUCGUUAUGCUGCGGUUUACUUGAUCUAUAAAAUGGGGCAAAUAGCAGGUCGUUGCGAGGGGUGCGUGAUAGACUGAAAAUCUUGGACACGCGGAAUUGCCUUUGGUAUAGAAGAGGCCGCCCCAGGACCCAGCGCUAAGCCCGGCACGAGGCCUGUUUUCUCAUCCUCCCAAAGGGACCAGAAUUGAGGAGACCUAACGCGAGUCCAGUGCUCUGCAGAGUCCCCAGCACAUGGUAGGGGUGCAGAAGGGAUUCCCAGGCCAAGCCCUUUGCUGCCCCAAGGAGCCCAGCCCUGCUCCAGGAUGCGGCCAGGGCCAAACAGAGGUAAGAGAAGAGAGGAAAAAGGGGCCCCCAGGCCUGUGGCUUGGCUUCAGGCGUUUCUUCCAGUGCACUUCCCACCCCACCCCCACUCCCCUCCAGCCACACCGACCUUCACAGUGUUCCUGAAGCCAUCCGGCAGACCUCUGCCCCAGGGCCUUUGGACCUGCUGGUCACACCCUCUAGAACACUGCUAGUUUGCCUCCUUUCCAGCUUCAUUUCCGCUGUCCCCUCAGCCACCUGCUUUCUUCCAUCUGUUUCUUGACGUUAAUCCCACAAGCUUGCUCCAAACCCAACGCCUCUGCACUCCCCGUUCCUGCCACCUUGAACACCUAUCCCUGCAGAGGCAGCUUCGUUGUCUCUUCAGAGAAACCAGCCCUCAUUCCCACGUUGCCUUGUGGCCUAAUUUGUCUUGGCAUUCACCGUUUCACUCAUGACACCAUCUGGUACUUGGCUUAGGACUUUCUCACCAGCGCCCCAGUAGUCGGGGAGGGUGUGUUGGGGCAGCCGCGGCCGAGUCCCCAGCACUUGAAUGGGACACAAAGGCACGAGGGGGCUAGUGGACCCCCUUGGAGCCCUCCACGGGGGGAGCAAUACCUGCCUUACUCAGGACUCCCCUCCAACCCGAAGGCCAUUCGUCGCCGAGCCUCAAACGAACCCUGCUUCUCAGGGCCGACCAGAGGGGAAGGCAAAAAGGAAACCGUGCAGACACAUGGAGUUGUACAACACAGGGCUGGAGAGGGCUUCUUGCAUGGCUGAGAUGACAUGACUAAGGCUGGGCAAAAGCGGGGCCAUUGAAAGGCUGGACCCCAGUGUCCCCGCGCCCUGGCCCAGCUUUCUGUCUCCAGGAAUCUAUCCUCAAAAAACAAAACAAGUCAUCCGACAGGAGGGUGAAGAGAGCCGCUGUCAUUUUCAAAAUCCACAGGUGGGAAACAAUCCAGCUGUCCAACCCCAGGGGAUCUGCGACAUAAUGAAUCAUGAUCCAUGUGGGCUUAUGGAGACCGUGUGACACGGGGCGACAGCAGCGGCCUCGGGUGGGCCACGUGGCUUCACCAGGGCGGUCGGCGUUUGCCUCUGGACGUCCGGUGUCUUUUCUCCCGCGUAUAUUUUUCCGUACUGUCCAAACUUCACACAACAAACACAAACACACGUUUGAAAUAAGUGCCGAGCCCCUUCUUGUCUCCUCCCCACCCCCCCCACCGUCCCCACAAUGACACAAGUCACAGAGCCUCCAAGAGCCCCAGAAGGGUUAGUAUUAGCAAAGUUUUAUUUCAACGUCUUUUCUGCUCAUAAAUGAUUCUGGAAAAGCCGAUACGCAAGAGGCUCACCCACCCUCGUCUAAAGGCAACACUGAGGUCACUGAGAACGCUGCUCAGACAAACUCCCCUAUGCUGGGGCGCAGGCAGCAGGACGGGCGGGUUUGGGGCAGAGGAAUAAAUAAACAUUGUCUCAGCUCUGCCAUCAGGGCUGGGGGCCCAGGGCCCAGAGGCAGCCCAUGAGACUGCUGGGCCGACAGCUUGGAACUCCCAAAGCUGCCCGAAGUUAAGGUGUGUUGCAGAAAAUGCCGAGGCUUCCGGAGGGCCUGCGUGUCCCCGGGAGGAGCCCUGGGCCGGUGGGCCAGUCUCCUCCUCCUGCUCCAGCCCCGGGGAGAGCCCAGCUCCCUGCCGGCGGGGCCUGCCUGGGCGCUGGAGGGGGGCAGACUCUCAUCCCCACAGUCCCUGCCGAGAGCACUUUUUGGCAUUACCUGUUAUGUAGUGUCAGGUGGCUGUGACCCAGAGCAGGUAGUGAGGGGUGGCAGGUGAGGGUCCCGAGCCGGUGGCUGGGGGGGGGGUCCCUGGCACCUGCAGCUCCGGGCUGCCCGUACACCUGUGUUUGCUUCCAGACUGCGGUCUGCUCUGGGAGGGGUGGGUGGAUCACAGUGCUGGAAGCCUUGGCCUAGUAGUGUGUGGGUGGGUGGGGUGGAGGCAGGGCGGGGCCAGGGCUGAGCAUCACGGGUAAGAACUGAAGAGGGCCAGAUGGUGGCUGGAGGUGGCCUGCCUGUAACAGCACCCCGCUCCCAAAGGGGUCCCUCGGGGGAACCAGCCCAGCGGGGUCACCA